UUUUCAUUAUCCAGUGAUUUUUCCUUUAAUUACUCUUAAAUUUGAGUCAAAUAUCGAACAAAAAAUAUCAAAUAAACUACAAGCAACGACGAAUUACGACAACAAUCAUCACAAAACGCAAAAAUUCUCCAAAUCCAAGGAGAUGAUACUACGUGACAUAAUAAUUUAGUGUCCUCCUACUAAAAAAAAUUAACAAAAAUCAUCAAUUAUCCAGUGAAAAAGAGGAAAAGUGAUGGAAACUGACGUAAAAAAUGAAAAAAUCACAGAAACUGAAGAUCACAAAGAAAAAGAAGAAUCAGCUGCUCCACAGAGUUCAACGAACGAUAAAAAUGCAGAAAAUUCUGGAAACGCCAUGGAUGACGAAUACAGCGAGUCUCUCGGCUUGCUCGACGAUCAUCACAACAAUGAAACAUCCUCCGUGCGUCUUCCAAUCAUCGGAAUGACCUGCCAAUCAUGCGUUCGCAACAUUGAAGGUGCAAUUAGUCAACGUCCCGGAGUGCAAAAAAUCAAAGUAGUGUUAAGCGAAAAUGCGGGAUACAUCGAUUACGAUCCUGUCAUCACAAAUCCCGAUCAAAUUGCAGAAUGGAUCGACGAUAUGGGUUUCGAGUGCAGUUACACAAACGAAAACGGAGCUUCGGGGAUUCUCGAGACACGAAUUAACAUCUAUGGGAUGACUUGCAUGUCAUGUGUGCGAAAUAUCGAGGGAGCUAUUUCAGGAAAAUCGGGCAUUAUGUCGAUCGCUGUUCAUUUAAAUGAGAAAAUGGGCAUUGUGAAGUACGAUGCAAGUGUUACGAAUCCCCAACAAAUCGCAGAUUGGAUUGAUGACAUGGGAUUUGAAGCAAAUGUCGCUGAAACAGAAAGUAUUAGUGGUAAAAAGAGCAAAAAGACUGACGUGAAAAAGUUACUUGAGAUCGAAAACGAAGCAGGAGGCGACGCAAAAUCGAAUGGCGUGAUAAAUGUAACAUCCGGCGACUUAACGAGAUGUUUUUUGCACGUUCAAGGCAUGACAUGUGCAAGUUGCGUCGCCGCCAUUGAAAAACAUUGCAAGAAAAUCUUCGGAGUUGAGUCGAUUUUAAUCGCUCUUCUUGCGGCAAAAGCUGAAGUCAAAUACGAUCCAAACCUUAUCUCACCGCAAGACAUUUGCCAAUCUAUCAGUGAACUUGGUUUCCCUUCCGAACUCAUCCAAGAAGAGGGCACGGGCGAAAAUGACGUCGAAAUUGAAAUAAACGGGAUGACAUGUGCUUCAUGCGUUAACAAAAUCGAACAACAUCUCCUCAAAGUACAAGGAAUAACGUCAGCUGUCGUUGCUUUAACCACAAAACGGGGCAAAAUUCGUUUCAACAAUGAGCUAAUUGGAGCACGAACGAUCUGCGAACACAUCGAGUCCCUUGGAUUCGAAGCAAAAAUUUUAUCUAACAAAGAUAAACAAUCACGUUCGUAUUUGGAACACAAAGAGGACAUCCGAAAAUGGCGAAAUGCGUUUCUUGUGUCGUUAAUUUUCGGAGGACCUGCGAUGAUCGCAAUGGUUUACUUCAUGAUCGAGAUGGAACGUCACGGGCAUGAAAAUAUGAUCAUGGUAAUGCCGGGAUUGUCUCUUGAAAAUCUUGUAAUGUUCGUUUUAUCAACCCCUGUGCAAUUUUACGGCGGAUGGCAUUUUUACAAACAAGCAUAUAAUGCAGUUUUUCGACACGGCACAAGUAAUAUGGAUGUUUUGAUCACAAUGGCAACGAGUAUUUCGUACAUUUACUCCGUUGUGGUACUCGCAACUGCUAUUGCAAUGCAAAUGCGUAUCUCGCCGGUCACAUUUUUCGACACCCCGCCGAUGUUGAUAAUUUUCAUCUCAUUGGGACGAUGGUUAGAACACAUCGCCAAAGGAAAAACCUCCGAAGCACUCAGUAAAUUACUCUCCCUGAAGGCAACUGAAGCAGUUUUAGUCAAAGUUAGCGAUGAUUUCGAAGUUUUAUCGGAAAAAAUUAUUUCUGUGGAUUACGUGCAACGCGGCGAUAUCUUAAAAGUUGUUCCGGGCAGCAAAGUUCCCGUCGACGGGAAAGUUUUAUGCGGCAAUUCAAUGUGCGACGAAAGUCUUAUUACGGGAGAAUCGAUGCCGGUGCCUAAAAAGAAAGGAUCUGUCGUAAUAGGAGGCUCCAUUAACCAAAAUGGCUUACUUUUGAUGACAGCUUCGCAUACAGGAGAAAAUAUGACGCUCGCACAAAUCGUUCGUUUAGUUGAAGAAGCACAAACUUCCAAAGCCCCGAUUCAACAACUUGCCGAUCGGAUAGCUGCCUAUUUCAUUCCUUUUGUAAUCGCCUGUUCGACCUUAACACUCGUCGGAUGGAUCAUUACGGGAUAUGUUGACGUGAAUUUGCUUCCUGUGAAGCAUCACGAUACAGAAGGCAUGAACAAACAUGAAAUUAUUUUCAGUUACGCGUUUCGAUGUGCAUUAAGUGUUCUUGCUAUUGCAUGUCCUUGUGCUUUGGGCCUUGCCACGCCAACUGCUGUCAUGGUUUCAUCGGGAGUUGGAGCGCAAAACGGAGUUUUAAUGAAAGGCGCGGGUCCUUUAGAAAACGCACAUAAAGUCAAAACCAUCGUUUUUGAUAAAACAGGGACAAUUACUCACGGAAUGCCAAUGACGUCGAAAAUCACAUUUUUCGUUAAGCAAAAAAUUUGUUCCGUAUCGAGGGCUUUGACGAUUCUCGGAGCUGCAGAAAGUAACAGUGAACAUCCUUUGGCAUCAGCAGUAACGAAAUUCGUGAAAGAAGUCUCCGAACAAAACACUUUUGGAAAAGUUGAGAAUUUUCAAACUGUUCCGGGAUGCGGGAUAAAAUGUACUGUCUCAAAUAUUGAUGCGCCCCUGAAACAAACAGAAAAUGCAGAGAAAAUGAUUAAUUUUAAAAAUUCAUGGAAUGCAACGAAAUCUGUGGGAUUCUUGAAUUGCAUUGAAAUUCGUGAAUUACUUCCGCAACAAUCUCCGAGUCACAUUGAACUUGAGCAACUUUUGCAUUUUGGCGACGGAAUUGAAACUGAACCUGCCGAAGCCUUCGCUUUAGUCAACGAAUUCAACGUUCUCAUCGGAAAUCGUGAAUGGAUGAUGCGAAAUGCAAUAACUCUCCCGCCUGAAAUCAACGCAGCAAUGAUCGAAGAAGAAUCCAUGGGGAACACAGCCAUUCUCUGUGCGAUUAAUAACACGUUAAUUUGUAUGUUAGCUGUCUCAGAUAUGGUAAAACCGGAAGCUUUGUUGACUGUUUACACGCUGAAAAAGAUGGGAAUUGAUGUUAUUUUACUCACGGGAGAUAAUAAAAAUACAGCAGCGACAAUUGCUCGUCAAGUUGGAAUUACGAGAGUUUUUGCUGAAGUUUUGCCAUCACAUAAAGUUGCGAAAAUUCAAAAAAUUCAAGAAAAAGGAGAAAGAGUUGCGAUGGUUGGCGAUGGCGUGAACGAUUCUCCGGCUUUAGCACAAGCUGAUGUUGGGAUUUCGAUUGCUUCGGGUACAGAUGUUGCUGCGGAAGCUGCUGAUGUUGUAUUGAUGAGGAACGAUCUUCUUGAUGUAAUUGCCUGUUUGGAUCUUUCUCGCAAGACUGUUCGUCGAAUUCGUUUGAAUUUCCUCUUUGCCAGUAUGUACAAUUUACUUGGAAUCCCAUUAGCUGCAGGCGUUUUCAGUCCAUGGGGAUUCUUAUUGGAGCCUUGGAUGGGAUCUGCUGCAAUGGCAAUGUCAAGCGUUUCCGUGCUUUGCUCAUCUUUGCUUCUGAAAAUGUAUCGCAAACCAACAGCAGCUUCCUUACAGACUCCCGAGUACUUACAACUCUACGAAUCAGGCGCUUUCCUCGAUCCAGAUUCAAUUUCCGUGCAUCGUGGCUUAGAUGACAUACCGAGACCUAUUUUCGGUAGAUCAACAAGUUCAUCUCUUGCCAAUUUCUUCAAAGGGUCUCCAUCUAUUAACGCUUAAAAAAAUUAAUUAACAAACACACACACAAAAACACAAAUUUGCACGAACUGUAGAUAAUUUUGGGUGAAAAGCCGAAGAAAACUGUAUUUACUAAUGAUUUAGUAUUUUUUAGCUUUAAUUUUUUUAUUAUUAUUUUAAUGUUCAUGAAAGCAGCGAAGGAGUUCACGAGCGGAUCGACAGACGACAAACAACGCCGUUUGUUAGAUGCGGAGGAUGAUACUCAUGUCGAGAUCGUUAAGUCAA